UACGAAGGGGGCUAGCGUUGCUCGGAAUUACUGGGCGUAAAGGGCGCGUAGGCGGACAGUUUAGUCAGAGGUGAAAGCCCAGGGCUCAACCUUGGAAUUGCCUUUGAUACUGGCUGUCUUGAGUACGGGAGAGGUGAGUGGAACUCCGAGUGUAGAGGUGAAAUUCGUAGAUAUUCGGAAGAACACCAGUGGCGAAGGCGACUCACUGGCCCGUUACUGACGCUGAGGCGACGAAAGCGUGGGGAGCAAACAGG
rnacentral:rRNA from 1 species